rnacentral:rRNA from 1 species
AACGAACGCUGGCGGCAUGCCUAACACAUGCAAGUCGAACGAGACCUUCGGGUCUAAUGGCGCACGGGUGCGUAACGCGUGGGAACCUGCCCUUAGGUUCGGAAUAACUCCCCGAAAGGGGUGCUAAUGCCGGAUAAUGUCUUCGGACCAAAGAUUUAUCGCCUUUGGAUGGGCCCGCGUUGGAUUAGCUAGUUGGUAGGGUAAAAGCCUACCAAGGCGACGAUCCAUAGCUGGUCUGAGAGGAUGAUCAGCCACACUGGGACUGAGACACGGCCCAGACUCCUACGGGAGGCAGCAGUGGGGAAUAUUGGACAAUGGGCGAAAGCCUGAUCCAGCAAUGCCGCGUGAGUGAUGAAGGCCUUAGGGUUGUAAAGCUCUUUUACCCGGGAUGAUAAUGACAGUACCGGGAGAAUAAGCUCCGGCUAACUCCGUG